GAAUAGUGUGAACAUUUGCUGCUGGGUCGAGACAACGAUGUUGAGGAUGUGGGGGACAAGCAUGAAGCAGAAGGUGAGCACCAGCAUUGAUAUCCAGUUGGCCAAGCAGGAGCCCUAAUACUAAAUGAUCCUUUGCCUUCCCUGAUCCCUAGCUCCUCCCACUGGACCUCCGGCCUCAAAGGGUCAGCAUCGUUACACAAGUCUGUUCUGCAAUAAAUCCUCAGCACGUCAAGUUUUCACGCGCUGUUAUGAACAACCAAAAUGUCUGUGUUGAGGUUUCCCCAAGCAAGCCCGAGUAGUUUUGUUUAGCUCUAGUGCCCGAGUGGGAUGAGUGUUACAGAAGAGAGACGUUAUAGCAGUACUUAUGGUAACGCUAACAGUUAACGCUAACAGUUAGUUCUCGCUGUGGACAUCACGAAGAAUUAAAUGUUGAAUAAUUUGUUUAAUUCUUUAUAAGACAGCUUUUUAUUCAGCGAGGAACGGGAGCAAAUCAAGGAACAAUCGAAACAAUAUAUUCGGAAGUAUAUCUGCUGUAGAUAGUUAGGACAGUGGUAGCGUUACGGACUGUCCUCAGUGCACCAUUUAUUCAUGUGGUGCGCAUCAGACGCGAAUUCCGCCCAUUAUUGAGAGGGCGUCGCAUUGAAUUGAGACUAAAGAAGGCUUGAAAACAUGACCCCAGUUUUGUUGUACGGUCCAGUACACCCUUCGACUCUCAACCCGAAGUUAAUCAGAACUCAAACGCGGCCCUUAACAAUAUCCGCGAGGCCAGCAUAUCAGCUCAGCUUCUGAGCUUCAGCAAACACUAUAAGCCGCCAAGAUAAAAACAUCGUUGAAGUGAAAGUCGAUGACAAUCCUGACCCCUUCGCUUAAGAAAUUCAGCACAAAAACGUCUUGCGUCAGAGUAGCAAGCCUCCAAACAUCUUCUCCCGUGUUGGCUACAUCAACACUUUACAGCGGAGCCUUGAGCCUGUUCCUCCUGGUCCAGGACCUUUGGACAAAUGUUCAAAUAGUACUACCCACAGGAUGAAGCCACUCUGAAUCCGGGGCUCCAUACUUUCUUGGCCAGGGGCCAAGACUACCUCGUCAAUAAGCAGAGCACCAGCAUUGAUAUCGAGUUGGCCCAGCAACCGCACCAGUCCCGCCUGCAGGAGCCCCAGUCCAGAACAACCCUUCCCCUCCCUUGACUUCUAGCUCCUCUCCCUUGACCGCCUGCCUCAAAAAGUCAGCAUCAUUGAACAACUCCGUUCUGCAGCAAAUUCUGAGCAUGAUUCUGUUCUGAACAAACGCAAUGCCCACGUCACGUUUUCCAAACAUAAGCCUGGGUAGUUUUGUUAAGCUAGAGUUCCGCGUGGGCCUGAAAGGGACAAGUGUUACAGACACAAACAGUUAUAGCAGUAGUUAUGGUAACGCUAACAGUCAGUUGUUGCUGUUGGACAUCACAACAAAUAUCAUGAAGAAUAAAAAUUUCAAUAAGUUGUUCCAAUCUUUAUGGGACAAACAGAAAUUGAACGGAAGAAAAUCAAGGAACAAUAAAAGCGUAAGCUUUCCAAGUUGGAUACAUCUGCUGUUGAUAGUUUGAACAACAGUAGGGUUACGGACUGCCCCAGAUUGUCCUCUCAGCGCCCUGGAUAUCAUAAUAGAACGGACUUUUGGCCAUAUUUCUGACAAAGAAAGGCAAUAAUGACUUGGUUGUGAAUACCCAGAGCACGAUAUAUCCAUGCUGACACAGAAAGGCAGUAAUGACUAUGCUGUGAACACCCAGAGCAAGAUAUAUCCAUGCUGACACAGAAAGGCAGUAAUGAAUUGGCUGUGAGCACAAAACACCGUACAUCCAUGCUGAUACAGAAAGGCAGUAAUGACUUGGUUGUAAACACAGAGCACAAUACAUCCUUGUUGACACAGAAAGGCAGUAAUGACUUGGCUGUGAACACAGAGCACAAUACAUCCAUGCUGGCACAGAAUGGCAGUUAUGACUUGGUUGUGAACACAGAGCACAAUACAUCCUGGUUGACACAGAAAGGCAGUAAUGGCUUUGCUGUAAACAUAGAGCACGAUACAUCCAUGCUGACACAGAAAGGCAGUAAUGACUAUGCUGUGAACACCCAGAGCACAAUAUAUCCAUGCUGGCACAGAAAGGCAGUAAUGACUUGGAUGUAAACACCCAAAGUACAAUACAUCCAUGCUGACACAGAAAGGCAGUAAUGACUUGGAUGUAAACACCCAGAGCACAAUACAUCCAUGCUGACACAGAAAGGCAGUAAAGACUUGGUUCCUAUCAAUAUCUCCUCCCAUAUUGGGUACAUCAAUACUUCCAACAGCAGAGCUUUGGUGAGUUCGACUUCCGUCUCAGCAUUGAUGUCGCUUAGCAACAAUUGGAUGAUUGGCGUCGACAAAUUAGGCCGGAUAAGUCGCUCGAACUGAAACGAUCUGAUCCAACAGGUAGAGCAGGCGUUGCGUGACACGUCCGUUAAUGUGACUGACCUUGAUAUGUUGUUCUCGAAUAAUGUGAACCUUAGGCCUGGAGAGCAGUAUGCAUUUGACGCCAUUCAACAACAGAUAUUGUCGGCAGUUCUCGGGUUUGGGGUGGCAACUUCGGCGUCGGGACUCGCUCCAUCUCUGUCUAUGGCCAAGUCGCAGCAGCAGCAGCAACAAGAACAAUAAAGCCGGUUCCUACAGGAUCCCAUGCUGUCACAGAUCGGUACCCAGCUGAACAACAGGCUGUCUGGUAAGCUGGGCCCGGAUAGGUGCAGCCAGUCUAAAGCUGGGGCUCCAAACUUUCCUGCCAAGUGGGCUGAUAUUACCUCUUCUACAAGGGCCAUAUGUCAGUGAUGCGCAAAGAGCUGGUGUUCUGUUCACAGAGAAAAAUCCUAACAACUCCAACUCAGUCACUACAUCUCAAUAGACAUCCUGAAUAUCAAGGCGUUAAGUUUCUUCUGGAUGCAGUUACAGUCACAGCUUUCAAGCCAGCAGCUGUCGAUGUAUUAAGAUUCUCUCCUCUCCAUGUUACCUGACCUGCUGCCUGUGAACAUCCUGCACAUAGAACCUUUAUCCCAAUCGAUGUAAUUAAACCGGCCAAUCAAAAAGAUAGCCUGGUACAGCACUUGUCAUUAGAUUGACGCCAUGCAUGCCUUUGAAGAUCAUUUAUACAUACAAUUUAAGCAUGAUAGUCAAUAAGUGCCUGCGUUGGCUUCUUAAACUACUCACAGUCCUGAGAACGGUUCAUAAUUGUGAUGCUUCUAUUUUGAUAUGUCUGUCAUUCUGUCUGUGUACAUAUUUCUCAUCCGUUUGCUCUUUUGAGGCAGUAUUUAGUUGAGAAUUUCAUGUAGUGAUGUAAUACUAAAAUAUCAAAUAAUAAUUUUAUUUAUUCAAACUAUAUUUACCUUCUGUUAAUUAUUGAUUUAUUUAUUGACAACAGACACUUUGUUUAAUAUUAACAACAGUUAAGCGCGUUAUAAAAAUUGUGUGAAUGUACAUGUGAAUUGCGAUAAUUAAUGCACACAUUAAUUGAAAAACUAUUUAAAUAAAGUGGAAUUUAGAAGUGCAUCAUAAUUGUAAUGGAGUUUAUUUAAUUAUUAAAAAAGGAUGCUUUCAUUGUUGAAAAUAUGAUAGUAAUUCAUCCACAAUUAAUUUUGUUUCAAAGUGAGUAUUUUCAUGAAUAAUGUUCCUAGAUAUGGUUGUAGAUUGUUCUUGUUGUAUCAUAUACUGACAUGCUCAUUAUUUAUGUUGACAUUUGCAUUCUAGCAUUAAAAGUUCAUUAUGCUUUAAAUAUUUGUAUGUACACAUUUGCGACCAGCUUUUCUAAUGUAAUUAGUGAAUAACGUUACACAGAUUUAUGUGUCACUGUAUAUAAGUUUAUUUUGUCGUUUGUAAAUAGAUCAACUGCAAAGCUAAUGUUUUUGUUUGUACAUUAUUCAUAAAAUGUUGCCAUUUCAAACAGAUACAUUCACUGUUUGAAUUCAUUUGUACAAAAUUGUUUCAUAUUAAACAUCAUUUACAUAUCAGGCAAUAGAGAAAAAGAAUUGCUUUGGAUGAAUGCGCACAUUAACCUGUAUAGUUAAUUAAGACAUGCAUAAUAUCAGAUCAUUAACAUAAUAAUAUACUUUAAGCAUUAGAAACACCUUGUUUUAUGUCAAGCUUUUCAGUUAUUAUAAUAAGCAACUAUUAACUGGAAAUUUGGAAAACAGUAAAGAACGAUUCAAGGGAGAGCAAUUGUGAUAUACUAAAUAAAAGUCGUCUCCCUUGUUAGAGUAUAAUUGUACCUCUCAACGUAACAAGAACAUUGAAUCUUUUUUUUAUUAUUCUACACUAUAAACUAUAUACUAUAUGCAUUCAAUAAUCACUAAAGAAAUAUGGUUUGCAUAAUUGUUUAUUUCUAUGCGUUAUACCAAAUUCACCAGUAUGGCAUCAAUUUAAGUUCAUCAUAUUUUAAUUGCCAAAAUUGGCCAUACAGUGCUAAAAGUUUGGUAUUCUGAAUAUUAUAAGUGCAUGUUCUCAUACAAAUUCACAUUGUAUAUUUUAACACUGAAGCAAUAUGUGUUAAUAUAUUAAUUUUUAUUUAGUGACUUGUUGUUGCUUGUUAAGGUGUCUAAUUUUGAAUUAUAGCUAUUAAUUGAUUGUGACUAUUUUCCAGUUUUGAAUAAUUGCUUUUAGUUGAUUUUUACAAGUUUGUAAAAGUUGUUUUCAUGUUGACCGCUCCACAUUAAAUGUCAUUGACGCGCAUUCACUACGGCCAGGUUCCGUAAAACUCCCAACUCAUCUGCUGUCUUAUGAUUAGAUUCCAUACACACAUGGUUGUUUAUAUCAGCUUGCUUUGCAUUAAACAUGUCUGCUUUGUUGUUGAACAAUUAUACACAGCUUUUUAUUGGACAAAAUUGUGUAACAUUUCAAAUUUUGGCUUUUAAUUUUUUAUUUCCAACAAAAAUAUAUUUUGUUUAUUUGUAUGUAUAUUUAGCUAUAAUAAAAUUGUUUCUAUAAUAUAUAAACAACCUAUUUAUAAGCAAUAAACUAUAUUGGUAAAAGUAGAUUUAAGGUUCAAAAUCAUGUCUUAAUUUGUUCGAUUAUCCCAAAUUAACAUAUUGCAAUAGCAAAACUUUUUGAAUAAAGAAAACUUGAUGCAACGUACCACCAGGUCUUUUAACCAUUGAUUGUGUAUUACUAACGAUCAGGACUUAAUCAGAAAUUAAUAAUUGCCUUUGCACGGUUAUAAUGUUUGUGUUAUUAAAUUGAAUAAUUUCUGUAGUUUGGUGCACAUUAAUUGUUGUUGUUUUUUUAAAGACAUAGCACAUGUCAUAUAAUAUAAUAUCAUUGUUUUGGUAUGUUUAGGGAUAUAAUCAUGUUAAUGUAUGUGAUUUGCUGAUCCAUUUCUUGUUGUUUCACUCCAUUUAAUGUAUAUAGCCAUGCAUAGAGCAGGAAUAUUGUUGUACUGUGAAAAAAAUGUUGUUAUAGCAAAUAAAAAAUGUAUGUUAA